GAGUUGGNGCACGGGUGAGUAACACGUACACAAUCUUGCUUAUACUUGGGGCAUACCCUCGGGAAACUGAGAAUAAUUCCCCAUAACAUAUUGAAAAGGCAUCUUUUUAAUAUUAAAACUCCGGUGGUAUAAGAUGAGUGUGCGUCUGAUUAGCUAGUUGGUAAGUGUAACGGGUUACCAAGGCUACGAUCAGUAACUGGUCUGAGAGGAUGAUCAGUCACACGGACACUGAGACACGGGUCCGACUCCUACGGGAGGCAGCAGUAGGAAUAUUUGGACAAUGGGCGCAAGCCUGAUCCAGCCAUCCCGCGUGAAGGAUUAAGUGGCCUCUGGGUUGUAAAACUUCUUUUCUCUGGGGAAUAAAAACUCCGAUUCUUUCGGGAAGCUUGAAGGUACCAGAGGAAUAAGCAACGGGUAACUCCGUGACCAGCAAGACCGACGGGUAAUAACCGGAGGGUUGCAAANCCGUUAUCCGGAUUUCAAAUUGGGGUUUUAAAAAAGGGGAAAGCAAGUUAGAGUAGAGCUUAAUUGGUAAAAGUCACAAGAUUGGGUUGAAAAUUCCUCACGGGAAGGACUUUCUAAAAGUACCGGAAAAAAAUU
rnacentral:rRNA from 1 species